rnacentral:rRNA from 1 species
UACGAAGGGGGCGAGCGUUGUUCGGAUUUACUGGGCGUAAAGCGCGCGUAGGCGGCUUCUCAAGUCAGGGGUGAAAUCCUGGGGCUCAACCCCAGAAUUGCCUUUGAAACUGUGAAGCUGGAGUGUCGGAGGGGAUAGCGGAAUUCCUAAUGUAGAGGUGAAAUUCGUAGAUAUUAGGAGGAACACCGGUGGCGAAGGCGGCUAUCUGGACGACAACUGACGCUGAGGCGCGAAAGCGUGGGGAUCAAACAGG